CUCUACGGGGCCUUCCCUCGGCGGUGGCUGACGCGACACCAGGGCGGGUCCGGGAGCCCCAGCUCCUAAGCCACGCCCCGAAAGGCUUGGCGCGCCGCUGCAGAGCUCCAGUCUUCCCGUCCGGAAACUGGGUCUCUGGCCGGGAAAGACUUGGGUCGCUUACGCAAGCCCAGGAUGGUAUUAGUGUGGUCGCCUUCAGUCCUGGGAACCUAGUCCUGAGGGUGACAGCCUCCUUGCCUCUGUUGGACUCGAAAUUUCUACUUGGUGUCUCCCUGCUCCAAGAGCCACCCUGUUUGUAGCCCAGAGGAGGCAGGGCCUGGGUUUGUGCUUGCCUGAGACAGAGAAUGAACUCCGCCCAGGAGUGGCCAGACCAUAACUUCCAGGAAUCUCACCAUGCUUCAUCUCUGAUAGUAAACAAAUUAAAUCUCAGAACUGCUCUGAGCUGAGAAAGGGAUCUCACUACCAGAACACCCGUGAGAAGCUCAGCCGUAACAACACAGUGAGACUACGGGAAGGAAUUAAAUAGGAUGCCAGCGGGCUACAUGGUCCCCAAAGGUUUGCUGUGAUGCUGCCCUGUUCCAUCUAUGCCAGAGGAAGAAAGCAUGGUUACCUCAGCUUGGUUUUGGCAGGGAAGGGAAUCUCACACCAAGUUUCCAAACAACCCUGGAGUGCUCAACUAUCUUCUCUCUAAUGGGGUCUGGUUCUUUGGGAACAAGGGCAGUUGGGAAUGGUGACAUUCCUUUGUAUUUCACUUUUGUAACAUUAUUGAGGGCCAUGAAGCUCCUUUCUGAGUCACAACACCUUAACAUAUGGAUGACUUGGAGCUUUUAGACAGACAUGAAGAAAUGACAGAUCUGUAUGCUCCACAUGCUAAUGCUGGUGGAGGCUUGUUAUUAAAUUAUAUAUACAGGAAUUUACAGGAUAAAUUAAAAUCUAAGAAAUUCUAAA